rnacentral:rRNA from 1 species
UCGAGGGGCAGCAUUUCAGUUUGCUUGCAAACUGGAGAUGGCGACCGGCGCACGGGUGAGUAACACGUAUCCAACCUGCCGAUAACUCGGGGAUAGCCUUUCGAAAGAAAGAUUAAUACCCGAUGGUAUAAUCAGACCGCAUGGUCUUGUUAUUAAAGAAUUUCGGUUAUCGAUGGGGAUGCGUUCCAUUAGGCAGUUGGUGAGGUAACGGCUCACCAAACCUUCGAUGGAUAGGGGUUCUGAGAGGAAGGUCCCCCACAUUGGAACUGAGACACGGUCCAAACUCCUACGGGAGGCAGCAGUGAGGAAUAUUGGUCAAUGGGCGCAGGCCUGAACCAGCCAAGUAGCGUGAAGGAUGACUGCCCUAUGGGUUGUAAACUUCUUUUAUAUGGGAAUAAAGUUUUCCACGUGUGGAAUUUUGUAUGUACCAUAUGAAUAAGGAUCGGCUAACUCCGUGCCAGCAGCCGCGGUAAUACGGAGGAUCCGAGCGUUAUCCGGAUUUAUUGGGUUUAAAGGGAGCGUAGGUGGACAGUUAAGUCAGUUGUGAAAGUUUGCGGCUCAACCGUAAAAUUGCAGUUGAUACUGGCUGUCUUGAGUACAGUAGAGGUGGGCGGAAUUCGUGGUGUAGCGGUGAAAUGCUUAGAUAUCACGAAGAACUCCGAUUGCGAAGGCAGCUCACUGGACUGCA